rnacentral:rRNA from 1 species
AUGAGUUUCUUAUUCUGGAACUGUCGAGGGGCGGGGAACUCUCGCACAAUUUGCGACCUCCAGGCUCUUUGUAGAUCCCAUUCCCCAAAGCUGGUGUUUUUGUGUGAAACUAGACAACCAAAUCACAAAAUGAUGAGAGUUUGCAACAGACUUGGCCUCAAAGGUUUUGAUGGCGUCAGUAGCCAGGGAAAGAGUGGUGGCUUAGCUUUGUAUUGGGAUGAAUCAGUGUCUGUCAACGUCCAGGAUAUAAAUGAAAGAUGGAUUGAUGCGUUCGUGAGACUUUCUGAUGAUGAACCGAUGUGA